GAUGAACGCUGGCGGCGUGCCUAAUACAUGCAAGUCGAGCGAACGGACGAGAAGCUUGCUUCUCUGAUGUUAGCGGCGGACGGGUGAGUAACACGUGGAUAACCUACCUAUAAGACUGGGAUAACUUCGGGAAACCGGAGCUAAUACCGGAUGAUAUUUUGAACCGCAUGGUUCAAAAGUGAAAGACGGUCUUGCUGUCACUUAUAGAUGGAUCCGCGCUGCAUUAGCUAGUUGGUAAGGUAACGGCUUACCAAGGCAACGAUGCAUAGCCGACCUGAGAGGGUGAGUGGCCACACUGGAACUGAGACACGGUCCAGACUACUACGGGAGGCAGCAGUAGGGAAUCUUCCGCAAUGGGCGAAAGCCUGACGGAGCAACGCCGCGUGAGUGAUGAAGGUCUUCGGAUCGUAAAACUCUGUUAUUAGGGAAGAACAUAUGUGUAAGUAACUGUGCACAUCUUGACGGUACCUAAUCAGAAAGCCACGGCUAACUACGUG
rnacentral:rRNA from 1 species